UACAGAGGUCCCGAGCGUUGUUCGGAUUCAUUGGGCGUAAAGGGUGCGUAGGCGGCGGGGAAAGUCUGAUGUGAAAUCCUGGGGCUCAACCCUGGAACUGCAUUGGAUACUUCCUUGCUAGAGUACUGGAGAGGAAACUGGAAUUUACGGUGUAGCAGUGAAAUGCGUAGAGAUCGUAAGGAAGACCAGUGGCGAAGGCGAGUUUCUGGACAGUUACUGA
rnacentral:rRNA from 1 species